UACGGAGGAGGCAAGCGUUAUCCGGAAUUAUUGGGCGUAAAGCGUCCGCAGGUGGCGAUUCAAGUCUGCGGUCAAAGACUGGGGCUUAACCCUGGAAAGGCCGUGGAAACUGAAUAGCUAGAGUGCAGUAGGGGUAGAGGGAAUUCCCGGUGUAGCGGUGAAAUGCGUAGGGCUCGGGAAGAACAUCGGUGGCGAAAGCGCUCUGCUGGACUGCAACUGACACUCAGGGACGAAAGCUAGGGGAGCGAAUGGG
rnacentral:rRNA from 1 species